rnacentral:rRNA from 1 species
GUAGGCUGAAACUCGCCUACAUGAAGCUGGAAUCGCUAGUAAUCACAGGUCAGCAUACUGUGGUGAAUACGUUCCCGGGCCUUGUACACACCGCCCGUCACACCAUGAGAGUUGAGAAUACCCGAAGCCCAUGUCAAAGUGGUCGAAGGUAGGCUUGAUGAUUGGGGUGAAGUCGUAACAAGGUACC